UACGUAGGGUGCAAGCGUUGUCCGGAAUUAUUGGGCGUAAAGAGCUCGUAGGCGGUCUGUCGCGUCGGCUGUGAAAACUCGGGGCUCAACCCCGAGCCUGCAGUCGAUACGGGCAGACUAGAGUUCGGUAGGGGAGACUGGAAUUCCUGGUGUAGCGGUGAAAUGCGUAGAUAUCUGGAGGAACACCGAUGGCGAAGGCAGCCCCCUGGGUCAACACUGACGCUCAUGCACGAAAGCGUGGGGAGCAA
rnacentral:rRNA from 1 species